UUCAGUUGCCAUCGGUAAGGCCGGGCACUCUGGAUGGACUGCCGGCGACAAGCCGGAGGAAGGUGGGGACGGACGUCAAGUCAUCAUGGCCCUUAUGUCCAGGGCGACACACGUGCUACAAUGGCCGGCACAACGGGAAGCGAAGGGGCGACCCUGAGCGGAUCCCACAAAAGCCGGUCCCAGUUCGGAUUGCAGUCUGCAACUCGACUGCAUGAAGUUGGAAUCGCUAGUAAUCGUGGAUCAGCCAAGCCGCGGUGAAUACGUUCCCGGGCCUU
rnacentral:rRNA from 1 species